AUGCUCAGUUCAGCAGCACAUAUACUAAAAUUGGAAUGAUAACGAGGAGAUUAGCAUGGUAUCUGCACAAGGAUGACAUGCAAAUUCAUGAAGUGCCAAAAUAAAUA
ensembl:snRNA U6 U6 spliceosomal RNA